rnacentral:lncRNA from 1 species
AUGUGGUAUCCCACUAAUUUGCUGUUUUAGACACGUGGCUUGUGAUAUCCCACUAAUUAGCUAUUUUAAACAUGUGACAAGUGGUAUGACACUGUAUUGAUGUAUGUGAAAUGUAUAGAGUCUUUCAGUUAUCAGAUAAUGUCAAGGAGUUGACAGCAUGGUGCCCGAUUUAAAGUGCG